rnacentral:snRNA from 1 species
AUCACUUCUACGCCUUUUGGCUAAGAUCAAGUGUAGCAGUUGUCCUUAACAGUUUAAUAUCUGCUACACCCCCUAUCUGAGAACAAUACAGUAUAUUAAAUGGAUUUUUUGAACUAGGAAUAGGAGCUUGCUUCAUCCACUUCAUGCAUUGACCUGGUAUUGGAGUACCUUAC